UAGGGAAUCUUCGGCAAUGGACGGAAGUCUGAACGAGCAACGCCGCGCGAGUGAAGAAGGUUUUCGGAUCGUAAAGCUCUGUUGUUAGAGAAGAACGUUGGUAGGAGUGGAAAAUCUACCAAGUGACGGUAACUAACCAGAAAGGGACGGCUAACUACGUGCCAGCAGCCGCGGUAAUACGUAGGUCCCGAGCGUUGUCCGGAUUUAUUGGGCGUAAAGCGAGCGCAGGCGGUUCUUUAAGUCUGAAGUUAAAGGCAGUGGCUUAACCAUUGUACGCUUUGGAAACUGGAGGAGUUGAGUGCAGAGGGGGAGAGUGGAAUUCCAUGUGUGGCGGUGAAAUUCGUAAUUAUGUGGAGGAACACCGGUGGCGAAGGCGGCUCUCUGGUCUGUAACUGCCGCUGAGGCUCGAAAGCGGGGGGAGCAAACAGG
rnacentral:rRNA from 1 species